GAGUUUGAUCAUGGCUCAGAACGAACGCUGGCGGCAUGCCUAACACAUGCAAGUCGAACGAGAUCUUCGGAUCUAGUGGCGCACGGGUGCGUAACGCGUGGGAAUCUGCCCUUGGGUGCGGAAUAACUUCUCGAAAGGGAUGCUAAUACCGCAUAAUGUCGUAAGACCAAAGAUUUAUCGCCCAAGGAUGAGCCCGCGUAAGAUUAGCUAGUUGGGUGGGGUAAAAGCCUACCAAGGCGACGAUCUUUAGCUGGUCUGAGAGGAUGAUCAGCCACACUGGGACUGAGACACGGCCCAGACUCCUACGGGAGGCAGCAGUGGGGAAUUAUUGGACAAUGGGCGAAAGCCUGAUCCAGCAAUGCCGCGUGAGUGAUGAAGG
rnacentral:rRNA from 1 species